UUAGCCUUUAAUAUAUUUGUUG
rnacentral:miRNA from 1 species